UCCGUAGGGUGCAAGCGUUAAUCGGAAUUACUGGGCGUAAAGGGUGCGUAGGCGGUUCGUUAAGUCUGUCGUGAAAUCCCCGGGCUCAACCUGGGAAUGGCGAUGGAUACUGGCGAGCUAGAGUGUGUCAGAGGAUGGUGGAAUUCCCGGUGUAGCGGUGAAAUGCGUAGAGAUCGGGAGGAACAUCAGUGGCGAAGGCGGCCAUCUGGGACAACACUGACGCUGAAGCACGAAAGCGUGGGGAGCAAACAGG
rnacentral:rRNA from 1 species